rnacentral:rRNA from 1 species
ACUUAAAACCAUCGCGAACUUAUCCAAGUUGCUUCGGCGGCGCGGCUCCCCUCACGGGGGACCGCAGCCCCCGCCUCUCAGGAGGUAAGGGGCAGCCGCCGGAGGUACGAAACUCUGUAUUAUAAUGGUAUCUCUGAGUAUAAAACAAAUAAGUUAAAACUUUCAACAACGGAUCUCUUGGUUCUGGCAUCGAUGAAGAACGCAGCGAAAUGCGAUAAGUAAUGUGAAUUGCAGAAUUCAGUGAAUCAUCGAAUCUUUGAACGCACAUUGCGCCCGCUAGUACUCUAGCGGGCAUGCCUGUUCGAGCGUCAUUUCAACCCUCAAGCUCUGCUUGGUGUUGGGGCUCUACGUCUGACGUAGGCCCUGAAAGGAAGUGGCGGGCUCGCUACAACUCCGAGCGUAGUAAUUCAUUAUCUCGCUAGGGAAGUGUGGCGUUCUCCAGCCGUUAAAGACCCCAUCUUUAACCAAGGUUGACCUCGGAUCAGGUAGGAAUACCCGCUGAACUUAAGCAUAUCAAUAAGCGGAGGAA